GGCGUAGUCCCAACAUUUCAUAUUCUCGUUCUAUCCCUCGCCGGCGAAACACAUCUUUCGAUUCAUUUUCCGAUGCCGGCGGCGUUCAACCUCGCCGUUCUCCCCGCCGGAAGGCCACUUCAUUUCCCCUCCUCCGGCGACCGAUCCACCACAUUGCCACGCUGGACCUCGAUCCGAGCCGUCGCGGCGGAAGCGAUUGAAACGCGGCGGUCGGCGGCGAGCCUCUACGAAGUGCUGCGAAUCGAGCAAGACGCGUCGCUGACGGAGAUCAAAUCGGCUUACCGGAGCCUGGCGAAGCUCUACCACCCCGACGCAGCGGUGCGGCGGUCGACGGAGAGUGACGACGGAGACUUCAUCGAGAUACGGAACGCGUACGAGACGCUGUCGGAUCCGUCGGCAAGAGCGAUGUACGAUCUGUCGCUGAAGGCGGCGUUCGGCCGGAGACGCCGCCGGAUUCCGACGCCGUUGAGUCGAAACCGGUCUUCGGGGUAUUACUCGAGCCGAAGAUGGGAAACGGACCAAUGCUGGUAGAGAGAGAGAGAGAUUUUGUUAUUCGAACUUGCUUCGGCUAAUUAACAAAGAAAAUUGUGAAUUUCUAAAAGACAAGAAAAAGAAAAAUGCUGGUAGAGAGAGAGA